GCCAGCAUCUAUUCCACCCUGCAACUCACAACUGGCAAUUGGAAGUUAAGUAUGUAUGAGCCUGGUCAGUACUUGGAUGGGAGACCUCCUGGGAAAGCUAAAUUUGCUGCUGGAA
rnacentral:rRNA from 1 species